CCCUAUGAAGCUUUACUGUAGUUUGGAAUUGACUUCGGGUUUAUUUUGCGCAGUAUAGGUGGGAGGCUAAGAAUUUGCAUUUGCGGAUGUGAAGGAGCCAAUAGUGAGAUACCACUCUGAUUAAACUAGAAUUCUAAUCUUGAUGCCGUUAUCCGGCCAAGAGACAUUUUCAGAUGGGCAGUUUGACUGGGGCGGUCGCCUCCUAAAAAGUAACGGAGGCGUGCAAAGGUUUUCUCAGACUGGUCGGAAAUCAGUCGUAGAGUGUAAAGGCAUAAGAAAGCUUGACUGUGAGACUUACAAGUCAAACAGAGACGAAAGUCGGCCUUAGUGAUCCGACAGUUCUGAGUGGAAAGGCUGUCGCUCAACGGAUAAAAGUUACUCUAGGGA
rnacentral:rRNA from 1 species